GUGGAACCUCCAAAGGACACAAUUGUGAAGAACAUGACCCUGAACUUUGGGCCCCAACACCCAGCAGCGCAUGGUGUCCUGCGACUAGUGAUGGAAUUGAGUGGGGAGAUGGUGCGGAAGUGUGAUCCUCACAUCGGGCUCCUUCACCGAGGCACUGAGAAGCUCAUUGAAUACAAGACCUAUCUUCAGGCCCUUCCAUACUUUGACCGGCUAGACUAUGUGUCCAUGAUGUGUAACGAACAGGCCUAUUCUCUAGCUGUGGAGAAGCUGCUAAACAUCCGGCCUCCUCCUCGGGCACAGUGGAUCCGAGUGCUGUUUGGAGAAAUCACACGGCUGUUGAACCACAUCAUGGCUGUGACCACACAUGCCCUGGACCUUGGGGCCAUGACCCCUUUCUUCUGGCUGUUUGAAGAAAGGGAGAAGGUAAGAGCGAGAGGAAAGGAUAGGAAUAGGGAAUGAAGUGCAGGAAGUAGAGAAGGUAUAAAGGAGACAGGAGAUUAAAAGAAGAGAGAGAACAUGGGAGAACAUUUAGAGGGAGAAGGUAUGUUUAACUUG
rnacentral:sRNA from 1 species